rnacentral:rRNA from 1 species
GGGAGGCAGCAGUGGGGRAUUUUCCGCAAUGGGCGCAAGCCUGACGGAGCAACGCCGCGUGAGGGAGGAAUGUCUGUGGAUUGUAAACCUCUUUUCUCUGGGAAGAAGAUCUGACGGUACCAGAGGAAUCAGCAUCGGCUAACUCCGUGCCAGCAGCCGCGGUAAGACGGAGGAUGCAAGCGUUAUCCGGAAUUAUUGGGCGUAAAGCGUCCGUGGGCGGUCACUUAAGUCAGUUGUUAAAGACUGCAGCUCAACUGUGGGAGAGCAACUGAAACUGGGAGACUAGAGUAUGGUAGGGGUAGAGGGAAUUCCUAGUGUAGCGGUGAAAUGCGUAGAUAUUAGGAAGAACACCAGUGGCGAAGGCGCUCUACUGGGCCAAGACUGACGCUGAUGGACGAAAGCUAGGGGAGCGAAAGGGAUUAGAUACCCCUGUAGUCCUAGCUGUAAACGAUGGAUACUAGGUGUUGUGCGUAUCGACCCGUGCAGUACCGAAGCAAACGCGUUAAGUAUCCCGCCUGGGGAGUACGCACGCAAGUGUGAAACUCAAAUGAA